rnacentral:misc_RNA from 1 species
CUGCUGCAAAAGUUGUUCGUAAGGUAAUUAAUUUCCUGUGUAUUCGAACUUAUUUGAGAACUUCUUUAAGGUGUAGCUGCUAAUGUGAUGCGAGUGUUUUGCAAUAUCUAUUAGAGUUGGGAGAUGAAAACAAAAGAAAUUGGGUAAAACAAGGAGGCAAACUGGGUUUAAAAGAGAACCUGAGAGUAUUUAUUGAUCUAGAAAAUUUGAACAGAAGCUAAUUUUGUGAGGAAAUUUUUAUAUGUUAUACAGGAAAAAUAAAUAAUUUUUUGUUCUGUUAUGCGCUCCCCAUAGGCCUCCUGAUUUUUUUUUUUUUCAUUUGUUUGAUGGUAAAGGUUGUCUCUGAAUUAAUCCAACGUAAAAUAAAUUUUGAAGGCAAUCAUAUUUAGAGCCAAAUGUUGCCCAACGCUGAAGAAGUGGGGAGCCUUGUACAUUGGGGAUUUAAGGAGCCAAUUGUUGUGUUUAAUUACUUUUCAUUUCUUUUUAUCUUGUAUUCUCUUCAUUUUCCCUCUGGUUGAUGUUGCCUCUCCUGCCAAGAUUUGGACAAACUUUUUCCUUUGUUUUCUAGAACUCCCCAUGUAAAGUUCACAAGGAGGCUACCACUUCAUUGUUAAUCCUAUAUGGUCUUGCAUAGCUUAUUGUCUUUUGGUGUGGGUUUUACCAUAAAGAAGGUAUGUUAAAUGAAAAACUUAACUGUUUUUGGAGGAUACUGAAUGAGUUUUUAGAUUACCUUUCCAUAAGACAAAUGACUUUUUAGAUUAGUCUUACAUAGAACAGAUAAAAGUUUAUGUUAGACUUAAAAAGAAAAGUUUUUAAUUUUAGGGUGAUUACUAUUUUCCCCAUGAGGUAAGGUCAUAAUCACUAGCAGUUCCUGCUGUUUGACAAUCAACCUAAAUGGUCCCUAAUAUUUGAUUCCAUUAACAUUGAGUCUCUUUGUCCUUAGUCAAAAGUAAACAAGUAGUUAAAGGCUUGAAAUGCAU